UUGCUUGGUCGUCUCUUUGUGCUGUCACUACGUGUACUGAAGAUUAGUUACUUCGCUUUGACUUGGAGCGAGGUGCAGUGGUUUCAGGUUGCUGAUGCUGAUAUUUUCAUGUGAUGUUUGAAUGAUUGUGUGUCUGACCAAGCGUAGUUGCGCUUCUGACAAUGUAUUGGCCUUCCUUUGCUGCACCGAAGUUAGUGAAUUGUUCACCAUGCUUGACUUUGUUCUUAGCAGGGAAAUUUGUGGUGAUUCGUAAUCAAACUUGCAAAGAACAUCCUUCUGAUUAUGUUUGAAGAGGUACGAUGGAUGGUUGAGCUGAGACCACUGUUUGAUAUUUGUUUGCCUUUGCUUUGUAACCAGUGAGGGCUGAAGUGAAUGAAUCUGGAAGUGCUUUAGUGAUUAAUGCUCUGUCCCAAGUUAAGCAUAUUCUACUUCCGGUCACUGGCCGCAAGCCUUACCUUUCAGUUCUAAUUCCUUGAGAUCACCACAGUUGUGAAUAUAGCCAUUGUUUCAACAGAACAAACCUAAGCUUAGCAUGAAAGAGAGUAUGAAAGUUCUGAUCUCUUCAAAAUAUGUGAGGGGCCUUGCUACCUUAGUUGUUGCAUAUGGCAUUAUAAUCAAUUUUGUGUAAGUCACAUGGAAAUCGAAGCUCAAGGCACAGUUCCCCAGUCCAAACGAGCACUCAUCUUUCAUGGGUGAUUUCUCUACCGCAACUGGACUUGCAACUUUCAUGAUGAUGCUGUUAGGCUGGAUUACAUUCCAAAGAUUUGGUUGGGGGUGGCUUCCAUUAUCACC